UACGAAGGGGGCUAGCGUUGUUCGGAAUUACUGGGCGUAAGCGCACGUAGGCGGAUUUGUAAGUCAGGGGUGAAAUCCCGGGGCUCAACCUCGGAACUGCCUUUGAUACUGCAAGUCUGAGUCCGAUAGAGGUGAGUGGAAUUCCUAGUGUAGAGGUGAAAAUUCGUAGAUAUUAGGAAGAACACCAGUGGCGAAGGCGGCUCACUGGAUCGGUACUGACGCUGAGGUGCGAAAGCGUGGG
rnacentral:rRNA from 1 species